AAGUCGUAACAAGGUCUCCGUAGGUGAACCUGCGGAGGGAUCAUUAACACGUUUUAAAACACGUUUUAACUACACCAACCAACCACGUGAACUAUUUAACACUCCUGGAAGAGAAAGAAUUCUGUCUCCUCUCACUAAUGAUGAGUUUCUUUUUUGUUUUGCUUUACCGUGAGACAAACAACAGAAGCAGUGAGUUUAGACUAGCAUUGCAGUUAAGAGCUGACUUGUAAAGACCUUUCAAUUCUUUUGGGAUAAAUGCACCUAUCAUCAUUCGUGUGAACAACACCAACCACUUUCACCACUUCUAUAACUAUUGACUGAUCUUUUUCUUUGUAAUAUAGGAAAAAACUAAUCAAAUAUCUAAGCACAACUCUUAGCAACGGAUAUCUUGGUUCUC
rnacentral:misc_RNA from 1 species